rnacentral:tRNA from 1 species
GGUGUAGCUCAGUGGCACAGCGCCUGCAUGGCAAGCAUGAGGCCCUGAGUUUAAUUCCCAGUACC